rnacentral:tRNA from 1 species
GCGGGGGUGCCAGAGUGGUCAAAUGGGACACGUUAAGGCCGUGUUGGCUUAGUGCCUACAUAGGUUCAAAUCCUAUCCCCCGCA